UACGGAGGGGGCUAGCGUUGUUCGGAAUUACUGGGCGUAAAGCGCGCGUAGGCGGCUUUGUAAGUUAGAGGUGAAAGCCCGGAGCUCAACUUCGGAAUUGCCUUUAAGACUGCAUCGCUUGAAUCAUGGAGAGGUCAGUGGAAUUCCGAGUAUAGAGGUGAAAUUCGUAGAUAUUCGGAAGAACACCAGUGGCGAAGGCGACUGACUGGACAUGUAUUGACGCUGAGGUGCGAAAGCGUGGGGAGCAAACAGG
rnacentral:rRNA from 1 species